AAGGUGUUAGCUCAAUUGGAAGAGCGUUUGCUCGGCAGGCAAGAGGUUGCGGGUUCGAAUCCUUGCGCACCUUU
rnacentral:tRNA from 1 species